UGCCCAGCAACUCCUAUCCUUACCUCCUAGCGGUACCGGCCGGAAACUAUGAGCAACCUUAGGGAAGAUCGGGUAACCAACCCCGGUGGGAACUUUGGUCGUAGGCUGACAGGGAAGG
rnacentral:ribozyme from 1 species